rnacentral:misc_RNA from 1 species
GAAAUGCGAUAAGUAAUGUGAAUUGCAGAAUUCAGUGAAUCAUCGAAUCUUUGAACGCACAUUGCGCCACCUGGUAUUCCGGGGGGCAUGCCUGUUCGAGCGUCAUUUCACCACUCAAGCCUCGCUUGGUAUUGGGCAACGCGGUCCGCCGCGUGCCUCAAAUCGACCGGCUGGGUCUUCUGUCCCCUAAGCGUUGUGGAAACUAUUCGCUAAAGGGUGUUCGGGAGGCUACGCCGUAAAACAACCCCAUUUCUAAGGUUGACCUCGGAUCAGGUAGGGAUACCCGCUGAACUUAAGC